CCUGCUCAGAGGCUUUGUACAGAGACGUGACUUUGGUGGAGAAUUUCAGCUCUCCUGUUUCUGUUGGUGAAGUGGAUUUUCUGUGACCUGAAAGGAAAGUUUUCAAAAGACAGGCAGACAGUUUAUGUAAGAUUUCCUGGAAAGGAAACUCACAAAGGAGUAGAGCGAUGGCUUCUUUUCAGGAUCCAUUGACAUUCAAGGAUGUGUCCAUAGACUUCUCCCAGGACGAG